rnacentral:rRNA from 1 species
GAUCCUGGCUCAGGAUGAACGCUAGCUACAGGCUUAACACAUGCAAGUCGAGGGGCAGCAUGGUCUUAGCUUGCUAAGGCUGAUGGCGACCGGCGCACGGGUGAGUAACACGUAUCCAACCUGCCGUCUACUCUUGGCCAGCCUUCUGAAGGGAAGAUUAAUCCAGGAUGGCAUCAUGAGUCCACAUGUCCGCAUGAUUAAAGGUAUUUUCCGGUAGACGAUGGGGA